UGGAGAAGAUUUGAGAGUGGAAAAUAAGGUUUUCGGAAGAGGACAAAGGGUAAACAGUGCCCUAGAUAGCUCACGGGUCCCUCUUUUAACAGUGGGGUCCCGACGUUGGGUCGACUCAAGAAAUUUCUUGGGUCGACUCAACGUUGGGUCGAUCCUAUUCUGGGUUGGGUUGACCCAAGUGCAGAAUUUUUCUUUUCUCUUCCGUUUUGCUUCUAAAAUGUUUUCCUUGCUUCCAAUCCUUAUAAACUCUUUAUGGGACAAUGAUACAUGAGUAAGGAAUCUAUAGAUUACAAGUUUGACUCAUGUUUCAUAGGUUUUUUUUGGAAUGAGAGGAAUGUAUCAUGAGAUUGCUUGCUUCCUUUUAUAUCUCUUCAAUAAGACGGAUCACAUAUGCCUAAUUUCCUCCUUAGCGUGCAGAAUCUAUCUUCACUCAA
rnacentral:lncRNA from 1 species